UGGGGAAUAUUGCACAAUGGGCGCAAGCCUGAUGCAGCCAUGCCGCGUGUGUGAAGAAGGCCUUCGGGUUGUAAAGCACUUUCAGCGAGGAGGAAGGUGGUGAACUUAAUACGUUCAUCAAUUGACGUUACUCGCAGAAGAAGCACCGGCUAACUCCGUGCCAGCAGCCGCGGUAAUACGGAGGGUGCAAGCGUUAAUCGGAAUUACUGGGCGUAAAGCGCACGCAGGCGGUUUGUUAAGUCAGAUGUGAAAUCCCCGGGCUCAACCUGGGAACUGCAUUUGAAACUGGCAAGCUAGAGUCUCGUAGAGGGGGGUAGAAUUCCAGGUGUAGCGGUGAAAUGCGUAGAGAUCUGGAGGAAUACCGGUGGCGAAGGCGGCCCCCUGGACGAAGACUGACGCUCAGGUGCGAAAGCGUGGGGAGCAAACAGGAUUAGAUACCCCUGGUAGUCCACGCUGUAAAACGAUGUCGAUUUUGGAGGUUGUGCCCUUGAGGCGUGGCUUCCGGAGCUAACGCGUUAAAUCGACCGCCUGGGGAGUACGGCCGCAAGGUUAAAACUCAAAUGAAUUGACGGGGUCAUAGCUGUUUCCU
rnacentral:rRNA from 1 species